rnacentral:misc_RNA from 1 species
GAUGAAGAACGUAGUGAAAUGCGAUAAGUAAUGUGAAUUGCAGAAUUCAGUGAAUCAUCGAAUCUUUGAACGCACAUUGCGCCCGCCAGUAUUCUGGCGGGCAUGCCUGUUCGAGCGUCAUUUCAACCAACAAGCCCCAGGCUUGUGUUGGGGACCUGCGGCUGCCGCAGGCCCUGAAAACCAGUGGCGGGCUCGCUAGUCACACCGAGCGUAGUAGCAUACACAUCGCUCAGGGCGUGCUGCGGGUUCCGGCCGUUAAACCCCUUUUUUACCCAAGGUUGACCUCGGAUCAGGUAGGAAGACCCGCUGAACUUAAGCAUAUCAAUAAGCGGAGGA